rnacentral:rRNA from 1 species
GACGAACGCUGGCGGCGUGCUUAACACAUGCAAGUCGAACGGAAAGGCCCUGCUUUUGUGGGGUGCUCGAGUGGCGAACGGGUGAGUAACACGUGAGUAACCUGCCCUUGACUUUGGGAUAACUUCAGGAAACUGGGGCUAAUACCGGAUAGGAGCUCCUGCUGCAUGGUGGGGGUUGGAAAGUUUCGGCGGUUGGGGAUGGACUCGCGGCUUAUCAGCUUGUUGGUGGGGUAGUGGCUUACCAAGGCUUUGACGGGUAGCCGGCCUGAGAGGGUGACCGGACAAAUUGGGACUGAGAUACGGCCGAGACUCCUACGGGAGGCAGCAGUGGGGAAUAUUGCACAAUGGGCGGAAGCCUGAUGCAGCAACGCCGCGUGCGGGAUGACGGCCUUCGGGUUGUAAACCGCUUUCGCCUGUGACGAAGCGUGAGUGACGGUAAUGGGUAAAGAAGCACCGGCUAACUACGUG